rnacentral:lncRNA from 1 species
ACAUCGAGCAAUCCGUGAGAUCAAGUACCUCCAAAGAUUCCAAGUUGAUGUUGGUGGGCAGAACCUCUAGCUUACAGCAUCCUUUUAAUCUCAGUUUCUCCAACUUGUGAAGGUUUCCAAUAGAAGAAGGUAGUUCCACCAGACUUGAGCAAUAUCUAAGGUUCAAGUCGGUUAGAUUAGUGGCAUUUCCAAUAGAAGAAGGUAGUUCCACCAGACUUGAGCAAUGUUCAAGGUUCAAGUCGGUUAGAUUAGUGGCAUUCCCAAUUGAGGCGGGCAGCUCCAACAGACUUGAGCAACGUUCAAGGUUCAAGACAGUUAGAUUAGUGGCAUUCCCAAUUGAGGCGGGCAGCUCCACCAGACUUGAGCAAUAAUUAAGGAUCAAGUCCUUUAGAUUAGUGGCAUUUCCAAUAGAGGCGGGCAGCUCCAACAGACUUGAGCAUCUACGGAGAUU